rnacentral:tRNA from 1 species
UGGGGCGUAGCCAAGCGGUAAAGGCAACGGGUUUUGAUCCCGUCAUACGGAGGUUCGAAUCCUCCCGCCCUAGCCA